rnacentral:rRNA from 1 species
GACGAACGCUGGCGGCGUGCUUAACACAUGCAAGUCGAACGGAAAGGCCCUGCUUUUGUGGGGUGCUCGAGUGGCGAACGGGUGAGUAACACGUGAGUAACCUGCCCUUGACUUUGGGAUAACUUCAGGAAACUGGGGCUAAUACCGGAUAGGAGCUCCUGCUGCAUGGUGGGGGUUGGAAAGUUUCGGCGGUUGGGGAUGGACUCGCGGCUUAUCAGCUUGUUGGUGGGGUAGUGGUUUACCAAGGCUUUGACGGGUAGCCGGCCUGAGAGGGUGACCGGCCACAUUGGGACUGAGAUACGGCCCAGACUCCUACGGGAGGCAGCAGUGGGGAAUAUUGCACAAUGGGGGGAAGCCUGAUGCAGCAACGCCGCGUGCGGGAUGACGGCCUUCGGGUUGUAAACCGCUUUCGCCUGUGACGAAGCGUGAGUGACGGUAAUGGGUAAAGAAGCACCGGCUAACUACGUG